UACAGAGGGUGCGAGCGUUAAUCGGAAUUACUGGGCGUAAAGCGCGCGUAGGCGGCUUUGCAAGUCAGAUGUGAAAUCCCCGGGCUUAACCUGGGAACUGCGUUUGAAACUGAAAGGCUAGAGUGUGGCAGAGGGGGGUGGAAUUCCACGUGUAGCAGUGAAAUGCGUAGAUAUGUGGAGGAACACCGAUGGCGAAGGCAACCCCCUGGGUUAACACUGACGCUCAUGCACGAAAGCGUGGGGAGCAAACAGG
rnacentral:rRNA from 1 species